rnacentral:misc_RNA from 1 species
ACGAGUUAGGGUCUUCUAGGCCCGACCUCCCAACCCUUUGCUUACUUGACCAUUGUUGCUUCGGCGAGCCCGUCUUGACUGACCGCCGGGGGACCGUAAGACGUCCUCUGGUCCGUGCUCGUCGGUGGCCAACUCUUAUAAAUUCUUAACUAAACGUGUCAUUAUCUAAGUACUAUUGUUAAUAAAAGCA